AUUGAACGCUGGCGGCAGGCCUAACACAUGCAACUCGAACGAGUGGGGACGGGUGAGUAACACGUGUGUAACCUCCCAUCAGAGGGGAUAACACUUGGAAACCGGUGCUAAACCGCUACUGAUGGAUGGACCCGCGGUGCAUUAGCUAGUUGGUGAGGUAACGGCUCACAAAGGCCACGAUGCAUAACCUACCUGGGAGGGGGAGCGGCCACAAUGGGACUGGGAGACGGCUCAGGCUCGCACGCGAGGAAGCAGUAGGGAAUGCGCGGAGAUGGAGGAGAGUCGAGCCGAGCAACGCCGGUUGAGGGAAGAAGGGUUUCGGAUGGUAAAACUCUGUUGUUAGAGAAGCGGUAUCUAACCAGAAAGCCACGGCUAACUACGUGCCAGCAGACGCGGUAAUAC
rnacentral:rRNA from 1 species